rnacentral:rRNA from 1 species
GAUGAACGCUGGCGGCGUGCCUAAUACAUGCGAGUCGAGCGAACAGACGAGGAGCUUGCUCCUCUGACGUUAGCGGCGGACGGGUGAGUAACACGUGGAUAACCUACCUAUAAGACUGGGAUAACUUCGGGAAACCGGAGCUAAUACCGUAUAAUAUAUUGAACCGCAUGGUUCAAUAGUGAAAGACGGUUUUGCUGUCACUUAUAGAUGGAUCCGCGCCGCAUUAGCUAGUUGGUAAGGUAACGGCUUACCAAGGCGACGAUGCGUAGCCGACCUGAGAGGGUGAUCGGCCACACUGGAACUGAGACACGGUCCAGACUCCUACGGGAGGCAGCAGUAGGGAAUCUUCCGCAAUGGGCGAAAGCCUGACGGAGCAACGCCGCGUGAGUGAUGAAGGUCUUCGGAUCGUAAAACUCUGUUAUUAGGGAAGAACAAAUGUGUAAGUAACUAUGCACGUCUUGACGGUACCUAAUCAGAAAGCCACGGCUAACUACGUG